AGCCAAGCCCCUAACCAUGGAGCCCUGUGGGAAUCAGAAUUUUUUGGGGCUGCUUGGUACGCUGCCUGGGAAGGUGCAUAUAAUUUUUAGCUGUUCUUGCUGAACGUGAACCAAACGUGGGUUGAGGAAGAAGUUGAGGUGAGAAUAAAGUAACCCUUGUCUUUAGCACUUGGGAUAACUUAGAAAAGUGCCUCUUUUCCCCUGAGGCUGGGGAUCUGGUGGCCCAGGCUGCGGGUGCUGCCCGUGGCCACACUUUUUGCAGAGUAAAGCAAAAGGAAAUGUGUGGGGAAGUUGGGGAGCAAACGAGUGCCUGUGGAUGCUCCAGAAAUAGGCACCUCCACAGGGACGAGCGCGAGCGCGGGCUGGAGCCAUGGUACCCGUCUCUGCGCUUGCAUCGUGAAUUCGAGCUGUGUGCCGCUGUCCUCUAAUUUCCCAUGACAACAUAUGGAUCCCAUAAAGGCAAACAUGCCGAAGUGCAUCUGUCUGGGUAGUUAACACAAACCAAACAUCCCCCGCUCGAGAUCCCGCUGCUCCUCCGGCCGCGCUGCGCGCAGCCCUCCUGCGCCAGCCCCUCGGUGCUCCGUCUUUCUUCUCGUCGCGCUGCCGGACGAGCCCGGGUGCCCCGGGAGGGAGCAGGGCAGCAGGCGCGGGUCAGAGGAGCGGAGGGGUUAAGCGGGGAGAGGGGCGUGCGCCCUGCGGCCCCCCACCCUCCUGGGAGCUGCUCCAGCCCGAGCAGGCUCUGCCCUGGGGUCAAGUCCUAGGACAUCUUUCCCUCCCCGCCUGGCAAGGCAGGAGCUCAGGCUGGGAAGGGAAACAGCAGAUGAGCAGAGGGCAGAGGUUUGCCCCUCGUCCUGGACACAGACGUCUGGAAGCUGGGGAAAGAAAGAGUUCCCAGUUUUCCAGGUUGCAAAAAGAGGUGAUGUGUGUGAAAAGAAGGGAAGGAACAAGUGACGGCUGCAGGACCAGCGGAUAAACCACUACGCAAACACCGAAACACAGCCAAGGAAUUAAGGGAUAAUUCGUACAGAAAUCGUUAGCUGCGUGCUUCUUGGAAAUGUGUCUGAAGAAUCAGAACAAAGCAUGGAAGGCCAGAGUCCUUGAAGGAGCUCCAAAUGAUAAAGUCUGCCAUUCAUUUUAAACACUGCGUGCAUUGUAGAAACACAGGUCAAUUUGAAGGCAUUUGUCAGAUUUCCAGUUCCCUCUGCUCCUUUGCAAUGGAAAUUUGCAAUCAAAUCCCUGCGCUGGAGUUAGGAUGUCUGCCUUGAUCAGUUUGUAUGACUCUAUGCCCAAAGCACUGGCCAGGCCGUAACAUGAGUGGAUGUGUUUGCCAUGGAAAUAAACACUUGGAAUACAUCUAUAUGUUUCUUGGCUUUUUGAGAGAAAUGAAGAAAAAAGUCUUGGCAUUUAAUUAGGAGUCACUAACCUGAUAAAUAUUGAACAUCAUUUCUUUGUGAGCGGCUCCAUGUGCUCAGAGUACUCUAUGGAUGUAUUCCACAAUUGCACUUAUUUAAUGCCUGUAUCACCUCGUGCCUAUUGUAUUUAUGUUGUCAUCAA